GUUGUAAACUCCUUUUCUGAGGGAACAAGUAUGAGGGUACCUCAAGAAUAAGGCGCUGCUUAACUACGUGCCAGCAGCAGCGGUAAUACGUAGGCGCCAAGCGUUAUCCGGAAUUACUGGGCGUAAAGAGUCUUGUAGGCGGCGGAUAAAGUCGAGUGUUAAAUUUUCAUGCUCAACGUGAAAAAUGUACUCGAAACUUAUUUGCUUAGAGUCUGAGAGAGGCUACUUGGAAUUCCCCUUGAAGGAGUAAAAUCCCGUAGAUAAUUGGGAGGAACCACCAAAAAGCGAAAGGCAGGUAGCUGGAUCAGGACUGAACGCUUGAGAGAACGAAAGCGGUGGGGUAGCCGAACAGGAUUAGAUACCCUGGUAGUUCACGCCGUAAACGAUGAGUGCUAGGCGUUGGAGAGUCAUUUCGACCCUUUCCAGUGUCUAAAGUUAACACGUUAAGCACUCCGCCUGGGGAGUACGAGCGCAAGCUUAAAACUCAAAGGAAUAGACGGGGGCCCGCACAAGCGGUGGAGCAUGUGGUUUAAUUCGACAAUAAGCGAGGAACCUCACCUGGGCUUGACAUCUCAAGAAUCCUCUGGAAACAGAGGAGUGCCCGCAAGGGAAUUUGAUGACAGGCGCUGCAUGGUUGUCGUCAGCUCGUGCCAUGAGGUGUUCGGUUAAGUCCGUAAACGAGCGCAACCCUUAUCGUAUGUUGUAUUUUUCAUACGAGACUGCCGGUUUUACACCGGAGGAAGGUGGGGAUGACGUCAAAUCAGCAUGGCCCUUAUGUCCAGGGCGACACACGUGCUACAAUGGGGAGUACAAUGGGUAGCCAAGGCGCAAGCCGGAGCUAAUCCUCAAAACUCCUCUCAGUUCGGAUUUGAGGGCUGCAAUUCGCCCUCAUGAAGUUGAAUCGCCAGUACCGCAGAUCAGCACGCUGCGGUGAUAUGUUCCCGGGCAUUGUACUCACCGCCCGUCACGUCAUGGAAGAUGGGAGCA
rnacentral:rRNA from 1 species